GACGAACGCUGGCGGCGUGCCUAAUACAUGCAAGUCGAACGCACUCUCGUUUAGAUUGAAGGAGCUUGCUCCUGAUUGAUAAGCAUUUGAGUGAGUGGCGGACGGGUGAGUAACACGUGGGUAACCUGCCCUAAAGUGGGGGAUAACAUUUGGAAACAGAUGCUAAUACCGCAUAAAACCUAGCACCGCAUGGUGCAGGGUUGAAAGAUGGUUUCGGCUAUCACUUUAGGAUGGACCCGCGGUGCAUUAGUUAGUUGGUGAGGUAAAGGCUCACCAAGACCGUGAUGCAUAGCCGACCUGAGAGGGUAAUCGGCCACACUGGGACUGAGACACGGCCCAGACUCCUACGGGAGGCAGCAGUAGGGAAUCUUCCACAAUGGACGAAAGUCUGAUGGAGCAACGCCGCGUGAGUGAAGAAGGUUUUCGGAUCGUAAAACUCUAGUUGUUGGAGAAGAAUGUAUCUGAUAGUAACUGAUCAGGUAGUGACGGUAUCCAACCAGAAACG
rnacentral:rRNA from 1 species